rnacentral:rRNA from 1 species
UGGGGAAUAUUGCACAAUGGGCGCAAGCCUGAUGCAGCGACGCCGCGUGCGGGAUGUAGGCCUGGUUGUAACCGCUUUGUUCAAGGGCAAGGCACGGCUUCGGGCCGUGUUGAGUGGAUUGUUCGAAUAAAGCA